rnacentral:rRNA from 1 species
UACGUAGGGUGCAAGCGUUGUCCGGAAUUAUUGGGCGUAAAGAGCUCGUAGGCGGUCUGUCGCGUCGGCUGUGAAAACUCGGGGCUCAACUCCGAGCCUGCAGUCGAUACGGGCAGACUAGAGUGCGGUAGGGGAGACUGGAAUUCCUGGUGUAGCGGUGAAAUGCGCAGAUAUCAGGAGGAACACCGGUGGCGAAGGCGGUGGUCUGGGCCGGCACUGACGCUGAGGAGCGAAAGCGUGGGUAGCAAACAGG